rnacentral:rRNA from 1 species
GACGAACGCUGGCGGCGUGCCUAAUACAUGCAAGUCGUGCGGACUUAUCUUCGGAUAAGUUAGCGGCGGACGGGUGAGUAACACGUGGGCAACCUGCCUGUAAGACUGGGAUAACUCCGGGAAACCGGUGCUAAUACCAGAUACAAUCAAAGACUGCCUGGUCUUUGAUGGAAAGGUCUUGUACCGCUUACAGAUGGGCCCGCGGCGCAUUAGCUAGUUGGUGGGGUAAUGGCCUACCAAGGCGACGAUGCGUAGCCGACCUGAGAGGGUGAUCGGCCACACUGGGACUGAGACACGGCCCAGACUCCUACGGGAGGCUG